GUUUUUGUUCAAUUACAGUUAAACUUUUUUAUAUCAAUUUGAGAAUUAAGUUAUAUUGAUCUGUUAUAUGCAUCUAAUUAACUUUGCCAACUUCUUAAUAUAAGUCAGACCGUACGCGUACGGUCCGACCGUAUGAGUAUUUUGAAAAAGUACGCAUACGGUCCAGAGCGUACGCGUACGGUCCAAAUACUCAUACAGUCUGGAACAUAUACACAAAAUGCCAAUUUCUAAAUCAUCCCUUAUUUCUUUAUCAUUGUGAAUAAUUUAUCCC
rnacentral:lncRNA from 1 species